AUACGUAGGGAGCGAGCGUUGUCCGGAAUUACUGGGUGUAAAGGGAGCGUAGGCGGGAGUGCAAGUCAGAUGUGAAAUACAUGGGCUCAACCCAUGGGCUGCAUUUGAAACUGCAUUUCUUGAGUGAAGUAGAGGUAAGCGGAAUUCCUGGUGUAGCGGUGAAAUGCGUAGAUAUCAGGAGGAACACCGGUGGCGAAGGCGGCUUACUGGGCUUUUACUGACGCUGAGGCUCGAAAGCGUGGGGAGCAAACAGGAUUAGAUACCCUGGUAGUCCACGCUGUAAACGAUAAUUACUAGGUGUGGGGGGACUGACCCCUUCCGUGCCGCAGUUAACACAAUAAGUAAUCCACCUGGGGAGUACGGCCGCAAGGUUGAAACUCAAAUGAAUUGGCGGGG
rnacentral:rRNA from 1 species